rnacentral:rRNA from 1 species
UGGGGAAUUUUGGACAAUGGGCGAAAGCCUGAUCCAGCAAUGCCGCGUGUGUGAAGAAGGCCUUCGGGUUGUAAAGCACUUUUGUCCGGAAAGAAAUCCUUGGCUCUAAUACAGUCGGGGGAUGACGGUACCGGAAGAAUAAGCACCGGCUAACUACGUGCCAGCAGCCGCGGUAAUACGUAGGGUGCAAGCGUUAAUCGGAAUUACUGGGCGUAAAGCGUGCGCAGGCGGUUUGCUAAGACCGAUGUGAAAUCCCCGGGCUCAACCUGGGAACUGCAUUGGUGACUGGCAGGCUAGAGUAUGGCAGAGGGGGGUAGAAUUCCACGUGUAGCAGUGAAAUGCGUAGAGAUGUGGAGGAAUACCGAUGGCGAAGGCAGCCCCCUGGGGCCAAAUACUGACGCUCAUGCACGAAAGCGUGGGGAGCAAACAGGAUUAGAUACCCUGGUAGUCCACGCCCUAAACGAUGUCAACUAGUUGUUGGGGAUUCAUUUCCUUAGUAACGUAGCUAACGCGUGAAGUUGACCGCCUGGGGAGUACGGUCGCAAGAUUAAAACUUAAAGGAAUUGACGGGGUCAUAGCUGUUU